UACGGAGGAUGCGAGCGUUGUCCGGAUUUAUUGGGUUUAAAGGGUGCGUAGGCGGGACCAUAAGUCAGCGGUGAAAGUUUUCGGCUCAACCGGAAAAUUGCCGUUGAAACUGUGGUUCUUGAGUGCAGAAGAGGUAGGCGGAAUUCGUUGUGUAGCGGUGAAAUGCGUAGAUAUAACGAAGAACACCAAUUGCGUAGGCAGCUUACCAUACUGCAACUGACGCUGAGGCACGAAAGUGUGGGUAUCAAACAGGAUUAGAUACCCUGGUAGUCCCU
rnacentral:rRNA from 1 species